rnacentral:rRNA from 1 species
CAUGCAAGUCGAACGAUGAUCCGGUGCUUGCGCCGGGGAUUAGUGGCGAACGGGUGAGUAACACGUGAGUAACCUGCCCUUAACUCUGGGAUAAGCCUGGGAAACUGGGUCUAAUACCGGAUAUGACUCCUCAUCGCAUGGUGGGGGGUGGAAAGCUUUUUUGUGGUUUUGGAUGGACUCGCGGCCUAUCAGCUUGUUGGUGAGGUAAUGGCUCACCAAGGCGACGACGGGUAGCCGGCCUGAGAGGGUGACCGGCCACACUGGGACUGAGACACGGCCCAGACUCCUACGGGAGGCAGCAGUGGGGAAUAUUGCACAAUGGGCGCAAGCCUGAUGCAGCGACGCCGCGUGAGGGAUGACGGCCUUCGGGUUGUAAACCUCUUUCAGUAGGGAAGAAGCGAAAGUGACGGUACCUGCAGAAGAAGCGCCGGCUAACUACGUGCCAGCAACCGCGGUAAUACGUAGGGCGCAAGCGUUAUCCGGAAUUAUUGGGCGUAAAGAGCUCGUAGGCGGUUUGUCGCGUCUGCCGUGAAAGUCCGGGGCUCAACUCCGGAUCUGCGGUGGGUACGGGGCAGACUAGAGUGAUGUAGGGGAGACUGGAAUUCCUGGUGUAGCGGUGAAAUGCGCAGAUAUCAGGAGGAACACCGAUGGCGAAGGCAGGUCUCUGGGCAUUAAACUGACGCUGAGGAG